UCCCAGACUACUCUAUAAAGGCAUUUUAAUUUUCAGUCAGUGUUCAUCUUAUUUUUCUUCAUUCUUAACAGAAGAAACAAGGAUCUGUGAAGACUGUGUCUGAUGAGAAGAAACAGCACUCCAGCCAUCAGACAAGUGGCGGUGUCCAGGAUGUACCUGCUGCUCCAGGCUCAGCAAAGCCAGCUUGGGAGGACCGACAGCCAAAGAAGAAGAGCUGGUGGAAUCGCCUCUUUGGUUACCUUGACAAGAAAAGUGUUCCUGGUAGGAGGCCUUCAGCCCCACAGGAAAG